UGGGUAUCUCUCCAGGAACAGGGUUGGAGAGCCCUGGACUAGAUAGAUGUAAACCUACAGUAGGUAUCUCUCCAGGAACAGGGUUGGAGACCCCUGGACUAGAUAGAUGUCAACCUACAGGUGGGUAUCUCUCCAGGAACAGGGUUGGAGAGCCCUGGACUAAACACUUACAUAGAAAAGGCAUAUAUUAAGUAAUGUGAUUGAAUGAUGAUGGAUCACUCUGACAUUGGUGUUUAGUCUCAGAUGAGGUCCCCUCCUUUCCUCCAUCCUGUAGAAAUGUGGCCUGGUCCUGAGCUGGAAGAGGGUCCAAGGGGCUUCUGGGAAACUGCAAGGUAAAAACAAAACAGCGUUUGGUUUCUGUGAGUACAAGGAGCCAGAGUCCACCCUGCGUUCCCUGCGUCUGCUACAUGAGCUGUUGCUGGGAGACAAGAAGCUGCUGGUCAAGGUGGAUGCUAAGACCAAGGCCCAGCUUGAAGAAUGGAAGGCUAGGAAGAGGAACGCCAACGGGGGAGCCAUGUCAGAGGACGG